AUUGAACGCUGGCGGCAUGCCUUACACAUGCAAGUCGAACGGUAACAGGUCUUCGGAUGCUGACGAGUGGCGAACGGGUGAGUAAUACAUCGGAACGUGCCCGAUCGUGGGGGAUAACGAAGCGAAAGCUUUGCUAAUACCGCAUACGAUCUACGGAUGAAAGCAGGGGACCGCAAGGCCUUGCGCGAACGGAGCGGCCGAUGGCAGAUUAGGUAGUUGGUGGGAUAAAAGCUUACCAAGCCGACGAUCUGUAGCUGGUCUGAGAGGACGACCAGCCACACUGGGACUGAGACACGGCCCAGACUCCUACGGGAGGCAGCAGUGGGGAAUUUUGGACAAUGGGCGAAAGCCUGAUCCAGCCAUGCCGCGUGCAGGAUGAAGGCCUUCGGGUUGUAAACUGCUUUUGUACGGAACGAAAAGACUCUGGUUAAUACCUGGGGUCCAUGACGGUACCGUAAGAAAAAGCACCGGCUAACUACGUG
rnacentral:rRNA from 1 species